UACGUAGGUGGCGAGCGUUGUCCGGAUUUACUGGGCGUAAAGGGCGCGUAGGCGGCCUUUAUAAGUUUCGUGUGAAAACCAUGUUUUUAAGGCAGGAGGUGCACGGAAAACUGUAAGGCUUGAGUGCAGGAGAGGGAAGCGGAAUUCCAAGUGUAGCGGUAAAAUGCGCAGAUAUUUGGAGGAACACCGGUGGCGAAGGCGGCUCUCUAGACUGUAACUGACACUGAGGCACGAAAAGCGUGGGGAGCAAAACAGGAUUAGAUACCCUGGUAGUCCCUGAG
rnacentral:rRNA from 1 species